AGAGUUUGAUCAUGGCUCAGAGCGAACGCUGGCGGCAGGCCUAAUACAUGCAAGUCGAACGCACCUUCGGGUGAGUGGCGGACGGGUGAGUAACACGUGGGAACGUGCCCUUUGGUUCGGAAUAAUCCGGGGAAACCUGGCCUAAUACCGAAUGUGUCGGGAAGGAAUUUAUCGCCAUUGGAGCGGCCCGCGUCUGAUUA
rnacentral:rRNA from 1 species